UAGCUAUUCUGAGGAUGAAGUGAUCCACGGUGUUUUCCAGGACUUAUUACAAGAAUAAUGGGAUCCAGUCUUGCAAUUGCAAAUACAACCCUUGACAGAGAUUACCUUCGGUGCAUUUGAAUUCAGUAUGUGCACCUACAUCAGCCAUGGUUUCCCUCACAUAGCGGCUGGCCUGAACAGUUGUGUAAAGUUUCUGUCACUGCUCAAAAGCUGUUGCCUUCCAGAGGAAGCUCUAAUUCAGCGAUGAUUUUAGGCUGUUUCUCCAGUCAGAGCUAAGAAUAUAAGCUUGUCAGGCCCUGACCCACUGAGCACAACAAGCUUCUUCUGGGUGCACCAGGUCACAAUCACGCCUUCCUGCAGAGUGGGACUAUCCAGGACUUCACGGAACAGAAAAGUGGGAGAAUAACAUAGCAAAAACAGCCAAGCAA